UACAGAGGGUGCAAGCGUUGUUCGGAAUUAUUGGGCGUAAAGCGCGUGUAGGCGGCUUUGCAAGUCGGGUGUGAAAGCCCUCAGCUCAACUGAGGAAGUGCGCCCGAAACUGCAGAGCUUGAGUACCGGAGAGGAUGGCGGAAUUCCCCAAGUAGAGGUGAAAUUCGUAGAUAUGGGGAGGAACACCGGUGGCGAAGGCGGCUCUCUGGACCGAGACUGACGCUGAGGAGCGAAAGCGUGGGGAGCGAACAGG
rnacentral:rRNA from 1 species